GAGACAGCAUCGCCACGGUAAUACAGAGGGUGCGAGCGUUAAUCGGAUUUACUGGGCGUAAAGCGUGCGUAGGCGGCUUCUUAAGUCGGAUGUGAAAUCCCUGAGCUUAACUUAGGAAUUGCAUUCGAUACUGGGAAGCUAGAGUAUGGGAGAGGAUGGUAGAAUUCCAGGUGUAGCGGUGAAAUGCGUAGAGAUCUGGAGGAAUACCGAUGGCGAAGGCAGCCAUCUGGCCUAAUACUGACGCUGAGGUACGAAAGCAUGGGGAGCAAACAGGAUUAGAUACCCCCGUAGUCCCUGUCUCUUAUACA
rnacentral:rRNA from 1 species